AAACAACUUGUGUCAGUGCAUUCACAGUCAAGUGAAUAAGCCACAAAGAAGACUUUCGGUGACCGAUACACUGAAUACUUAAAGACUAACAAACGAAAAAUGAUUUCCCUCUGCAUGAUCAUCACGGCUCUGGUGCCCAGCUUGGCUCUAGCAAAAGGUACAUUUCAAGUGUCUAUGGAAUGCAACUUAUCUGGACCUACGGUACCUCAGCAAUGUUUUGGAGUACUUGGAGAGCCAUUCAUGUUUCACCUGCCUACAAAUCCCACAAAGAUCAUUUUGAAAAAGGAUGAGACAUUUAACAUUUUAAAUAUAGCAAAUGCGGCAGUGAUCCAUCUCGAUAAGAAAUACAUCAAUCGAUCAGUAUUCCUCCCCAAUGGAACAUUCAAGUUAAAUAAUGCACAGAAGACAGACUCUGGAAAUUACAGGCUGCAAGCAUAUGGACCCAUGGGUAGACGGUUGUAUGAUUUUAAGAUGCAUCUAGAAAUACAAGGUAAGAUUUCUUUGAUAGUAGAAUUGUUUGAGAUAAAUCUGUGAUCCAUUCAA